rnacentral:ncRNA from 2 species
GUGGGUACCCGCGGGAGUCCGGCCGAACGGACUGAGAGGGGGCUGAAGCCCCGACCGCCGAACCUGAUCCGGAUCAUGCCGGCGCAGGGAGCGAGCAUUGACGAACG